rnacentral:rRNA from 1 species
UACGAAGGGUGCAAGCGUUGUUCGGAAUUACUGGGCGUAAAGGGCUCGUAGGUGGCCAACUAAGUCGGACGUGAAAUCCCUCAGCUUAACUGGGGAACUGCGUCCGAUACUGGAUGGCUUGAGUUUGGGAGAGGGAUGCGGAAUUCCAGGUGUAGCGGUGAAAUGCGUAGAUAUCUGGAGGAACACCGGUGGCGAAGGCGGCAUCCUGGACCAACACUGACACUGAUGAGCGAAAGCCAGGGGAGCAAACGGG